AUUGAACGCUGGCGGCAUGCCUUACACAUGCAAGUCGAACGGUAACAGGCCGCAAGGUGCUGACGAGUGGCGAACGGGUGAGUAAUGCAUCGGAACGUGCCCAGUCGUGGGGGAUAACUGCUCGAAAGAGCAGCUAAUACCGCAUACGACCUGAGGGUGAAAGCGGGGGACCGUAAGGCCUCGCGCGAUUGGAGCGGCCGAUGUCAGAUUAGCUAGUUGGUAAGGUAAUGGCUUACCAAGGCGACGAUACGUAGCCGACCUGAGAGGGUGAACGGCCACACUGGGACUGAGACACGGCCCAGACUCCUACGGGAGGCAGCAGUAGGGAAUUUUCCACAAUGGGGGCAACCCUGAUGGAGCAAUGCCGCGUGAGAGAAGAAGGCCUUCGGGUUGUAAAUCUCUGUUAUAAGGGAAGAAAGGUGUAGAGAGGGAAUGCUCUAUAUAAGACAAUGCCUUAUGAGAAAGCCACGGCUAACUACGUGCCAGCCGCCGCCGUAAGAC
rnacentral:rRNA from 1 species